GGUCACUGCGUGCAGGCUUGCGCGUUACUACGGGUGAUGCGAGCGUUUUCCGGAAUUAGUGGGCGUAAGGCUUCCUUAGGUGGCUAGUCAAGUCUGCGGUCCAAGUCUGGGGCUUAGCCCUGGAAAGGCCGUGGAAACUGACGAGCUAGAGUGCAGUAGGGGUAGAGGGAAUUCCCGGUGUAGCGGUGAAAUGCGUAGAGCUCGGGAAGAACAUCGGUGGCGAAAGCGCUCUACUGGACUGCAACUGACACUCAGGGACGAAAGCUAGGGGAGCGAAUGGGAUUAGAUACCCCUGUAGUC
rnacentral:rRNA from 1 species